GCUAAACAGCUAGCUUAUUUAUCAAAAUAACAAAAACAACAUUAAAAUCUUUUACAAGACCAUUAACCUCUAAAUUAAAACAUUUUCCCGCCCAAGUAUAGGAGAUAGAAAAGGCACCAAACGAGCUAUAGUAAUAGUACCGCAAGGGAACGCUGAAAGAGAAAUGAAAUAAAUCAUUAAAGCACAACAAAGCAGAGAUAAACCCUCGUACCUUUUGCAUCAUGAUUUAGCUAGUCCUACCGAGCAAAGUGUACUUUAGUUCAGACCCCCGAAACUAAGUGAGCUACCCCGAGACAGCCUAUUAAUUAGGGCCAACCCGUCUCUGUGGCAAAAGAGUGGGAAGAUCCCCGGGUAGAGGUGACAAACCUACCGAACUUAGUUAUAGCUGGUUGCCUAAGAAAUGAAUAGAAGUUCAGCCUCGCACUCCUCAACUCACAAACAACUUCAACAAACACGAGCCAGAGAAAUAUGCAAGAGUUAGUCAAAGGGGGUACAGCCCCUUUGAAAUAGAAUACAACCUCACCAGGUGGUUAAAGAUUAUACUAAACAAGAUAUACCGCUUUAGUGGGCCUAAAAGCAGCCACCUAAACAGAAAGCGUUAAAGCUCCGGCGGAAUAAAAUCAAUUAUUUAAAUAUCCAAUUCUAAAACCCCUAAAUUUACUAGGCCACUCCAUGCAAACAUGGAAGAGACACUGCUAAAAUGAGUAAUAAGAAAGAAUCCCUUUCUCCUAGCCUACGUGUAUGCUAGAUCGGAUCAACCACUAGCAAUUACCGAACCCAACCAAAGAGGGCAGUGUGGUCAUAUAAAACACCAAGAAAUACCCACAAACCCUGAUCGUUAACCCCACACCGGAAGGCCAACAUAGGAAAGACUAAAAGAAAAGGAAGGAACUCGGCAAACACAAGCCUCGCCUGUUUACCAAAAACAUCGCCUCCUGCAAAACUCAACGUAUAGGAGGUCCUGCCUGCCCAGUGACAAGUUUAAACGGCCGCGGUAUUUUGACCGUGCGAAGGUAGCGCAAUCACUUGUCUUUUAAAUGAAGACCUGUAUGAAUGGUGGAACGAGGGCUUAACUGUCUCCCCUUUCAAGUCAAUGAAAUUGAUCUGCCCGUGCAGAAGCGGACAUACAAAUACAAGACGAGAAGACCCUUUGGAGCUUAAGAUAUUAGAUCAACUAUGUCAAGGACCCAAAACAAGUUAAACUAAAUAGUCAAUUGAUCUCCAUCUUCGGUUGGGGCGACCACGGGAGACAACAAAGCUCCCAUGCGGACUGGGGCAAUCCCCUAAAACCAAGAGAGACAUCUCUAAGUCACAAAACAUUUGACCACAAAGAUCCGGCUACAUGCCGACCAACGGACCAAGUUACCCUAGGGAUAACAGCGCAAUCCUCUUCCAGAGUCCAUAUCGACAAGGGGGUUUACGACCUCGAUGUUGGAUCAGGACAUCCUAAUGGUGCAGCCGCUAUUAAGGGUUCGUUUGUUCAACGAUUAAAGUCCUACGUGAUCUGA
rnacentral:rRNA from 1 species